GAUGAACGCUAGCUACAGGCUUAACACAUGCAAGUCGAGGGGCAGCGCAGUGUAGCAAUACAUGGGCGGCGACCGGCGCACGGGUGCGUAACGCGUAUCCAACCUUCCCGUUACUCAGGGAUAGCCUUCCGAAAGGGAGAUUAAUACCUGAUGGUGUUCAACUUCCGCAUGUUAUUUGAACUAAAGAUUCAUCGGUAACGAAUGGGGAUGCGUGACAUUAGGUAGAUGGCGGGGUAACGGCCCACCAUGCCCACGAUGUCUAGGGGUUCUGAGAGGAAAGUCCCCCACACUGGAACUGAGACACGGUCCAGACUCCUACGGGAGGCAGCAGUGAGGAAUAUUGGUCAAUGGUCGGAAGACUGAACCAGCCAAGUAGCGUGAAGGAUGAAGGUUCUAUGGAUUGUAAACUUCUUUUAUACGGGAAUAAAACCACCUACGUGUAGGUGCUUGUAUGUACCGUAUGAAUAAGCAUCGGCUAACUCCGUGCCAGCCGCCGCGGUAACAC
rnacentral:rRNA from 1 species